rnacentral:rRNA from 1 species
CAGCCGCCGCGGUAAAACGGAGGGCGCGAGCGUUACCCGGAUUUACUGGGCGUAAAGGGCGUGUAGGCGGCCUGGGGCGUCCCAUGUGAAAGGCCACGGCUCAACCGUGGAGGAGCGUGGGAUACGCUCAGGCUAGAGGGUGGGAGAGGGUGGUGGAAUUCCCGGAGUAGCGGUGAAAUGCGCAGAUACCGGGAGGAACGCCGAUGGCGAAGGCAGCCACCUGGUCCACUUCUGACGCUGAGGCGCGAAAGCGUGGGGAGCAAACCGGAUUAGAUACCCCUGUAGUCCCUGUCUCUUAUAA